rnacentral:rRNA from 1 species
GGGGUAAACCUGCGAAACUCGAAUGAACGAACGGAGAGAUUCAUCGUCACUCCGCGGCGUACGGGUGCGCGCUUCGAUGUCCGCCGGCCUCGCGGUCGGCGGGCACGUCGCGUACGCGUCGACGUCCGCGGACGGCGUGCACUUCUCUCUUAGUAACGCAUGCAUCGCGACCCGUUCGAUGUCGGCCUAAGCGCCGUCCGGGAGCCCCGCCGCCGCCCCCCUUCGGGGGGGAGGCGACACGGGACCGCGACGGACGCCGACCGGCCGUCGGACGGUAUAACAUAUGACACGCGCACGCGUUUACAACGCGUCCGGCCCGACGCAAGUCAACGUCGUAUCCGACGUACCGCCCGAGCGCGGACGUUGGUGCGGCGCGUCUGUCGUCGCCGCCGUGCAGUCUCGGACCGUGCGCGUCUCCGUCUGCGAUGAUUCAGUUUCGGGCACUCGCAGGACCCGUCUUGAAACACGGACCAAGGAGUCUAGCAUGUAUGCGAGUCAUUGAGUCUAAUCAUUUAAUACAUAAAACUGAAAGGCGCAACGAAAGUGAAGGCGCGCGCUAGUCGCGCGCUCAGGGAGGAUGGAGCGUCGAUCUCGGUCGAUCUCUCGCACUCCCGAGGCGUCUCGUUUCCAAUCCGUGAAUGCAGGCGCGCUC